rnacentral:rRNA from 1 species
GGGUCAGUAGGUUGUUCGUGCCACCGGUACGUACUGGUCUCACUGAUUCCUCCUUCCUGAAGAACCGUAAUGCCAUUAAUUUGGUGUUGCGGGGAAACAGGACUGUUACUUUGAAAAAAUUAGACUGUUUAAAGCAAGCUAACGCUUGAAUACAUUAGCAUGGAAUAAUGAAAUAGGACGAUCGAUCCUAUUUUGUUGGUUUCUAGGUUUGUCGUA